rnacentral:lncRNA from 1 species
GAAAUACUCUUCGGGAAAUGUCUUCUGUGCACCUAUGGCAAAGGGCCCCAAAGUCCUGAUUCAUGCAUGUCUCUAAAUUGCACAGCGUGCCCCUUUGAUGACAUUGCAAUCCCUCCUCAGUGCCUAUUGCACUGAUUCUCUGUCCGCCUGAAGGGCUUUACAGCCUGUUCAAUAGGAUUUAGCAAUGUGGCCUUGAGAGGGCCUCAAGGCACAAAUCGGAGAGGACUGCUGACAGCGAGCUGGUGAAGCGGCCCCUUCACCAGCUUUUGUAUCUCAGGACUUAAAGGUCCUCUGCAAGCAUUUCGGCCAGGUGCACCAAGUCUGUGGUAAAAAAAAAAAAAACCCAUGGCGGUCUGAGAAAGCUGAUUAAAUGGGUGCACCAAGUACUGUGGUAAAAAAAAAAAAAAAAACCCAUGGCGGUCUGAGAAAGCUGAUUAAAUGAAAUGAAAUGAAAAAAUUAAGUAGAAAAUGAAGCAAAACUGUGCGGCGAAAAAAAAUGAAAGAGUACUAUUUAAAAUGGUUUCAGAUGGAGUAUGGAUCGUCACAGUGCAGGAUGACAGCUGGAACUCUGCAGGAGUUCAGCAGGAUGACUGUCUUUAUGAUUAACUAUUGUUGUUUUUGUUGUGAUCUGUACUGAAACAAAAGAAGACAAAGUUUUAUUCUAAGGUACUGGUGUCUGCCUCUUUGCCUCUGUGCCAGAGGGAUAAAGAGGGAAAGAAAGAGGACUAGUGCUUCAUAUCCCCCCUUUGGCCUCCCCGUCUCCCUGCUCCCUGUCACUCCAUCCUUCCUUCCUCCCUCCCGGACCACCCGUCAGCGGCUGGAUCAACCCGCCCGGACCCUCCUCCCACAACCCCUUUGACUAUCCUCACUUCACCGUCCCGUCUUGUGAACUGAGUGCAGGAAUUUCUGGUUACUGGGAGCUGAAGACUGGUUUUGGCAGUGCAGUCACAGAUGUAAGAGAUGGUCCCCGUUACAAAAAAUAUGUAUAUUCGAAAAAUCUUAACUUUUCUGCAAGCUUAUUUUAUGCAAUUUUGUAUGUUAGACAUGGGAUGAGAAUCUGGAACAAUACAUACAGAUCAUUCCUGUGA